AUGGCUCCUCACGCGGCUGCGCCUGCUGGACGCCGCUUCUCCACCACAAGGCAGUGGCAGAGGAGGGCCUUAUCCACCACCACGCAACGGCAUCCAAGAAAACUAGUAGAAGGGGGUGAGGAAGGAGGAGAAAGACCAGAAGAAGGGCAAGGGAGGUGGGGCGAUCUGCAUGUCCAUGAAGCAGUAGGACGACAACGAGAGGAUGAGUACCUCGACGGCGACGACAACCAGGAGGAUGAACCCACCCACACUACUGGAAACAGGGAUGACGCGGUUCGGGAUCGCCGCGUGCUUCAACGCCACAUCGUCGGCCGUCUCGGAGGCCGCCGCAGUCAUGUUCUAGAUUGCCGCAGUCAUGUUCAAGUCCAAUGA
rnacentral:rRNA from 1 species